ACAGUGAGAAAUGAAUAAAUGAAUAAAAUUAUUUCAAAAGUCCCUGUGACUUUACAUAUAGCUACUGAGUGCGGUAUGUCCCAACUAGAAAGAAGAGAAAAAUGAUUGAUCCAUCAAUGUCCUGAAGAUUGCCUACAUUAAAUACAUGAAUCCCCACAAAGAUCUUUGUUACUUUGAGAAAUUGUAUUCUUCCAGUGUUCACUUUACUAACAUAUGUCCUGCGAGGAAAGCUCUGUCCCCCUGUUGCUAAAUGUAUUAAAUAUAUUAAAAGCCCUGCACAUGAAAUAACCUAGGUGCACGCUCAGAGGAGCCCCUGUGUCUCCACCAUUGCUCACUGUGGGGCGGGGUUCCCUCUAUUUACUGUGUUUCUCUGGGAGGCUGGACAGUCUGGACCUGCAGUGCUUGGCAGGCAGAGCAGGUGAAGUCAUAGGAGAGUGUCUGACAGAGCUAGAACUUUCACUCUGGUUCUGCUUUGAGUUGGUGGUUUGCAGUCGUAAGGGGAAAUUGACAACCAGAAACCGUAAUGGAGAAGGACACAGCUGUAUGAAUGGAGAGGACGCCUUCAUGCAGAGUGAAUGAGGAGAGCACGCUGGGGAUUUCUACACUGGGAGGAAGUGCUGAGGAUUACGGUGCAUCCUCCUAGAAGUCAAGGACACGCAUCCAGGUCCUCCAGCUGCUGAUCAAGUCCCACGAGGAAUCUGUCCAGGAGGCUCUCUUCCCGACCUACAGAAGAGCCCGUGGUGCUGAAGAGCUGGAAGGUCUGCUGGAGCAACUCGUGCACAACAGCUGUGGCUUCUGUCUUCUCAAGCCUGGUCCCGUGCACCAGGGUCUGAGGAAUCUGAAGUCAGUCCUGUCCCUCAGACAGGGCACAGUGGGCACUCUCUCCAUCUGACUCCAACGUGUGAAGCUUUCCAGAUCGCCGUGGCUGGCAGGCAGCUCACAGCCCAGGGAGCACGUGGGGCUGGAGCAGAGCAUCACCAGGGCCAGCAGCACUGAGACGGGGAGGGCCAUUGGGAUGCUGGGGACUUGCAGGACCGCCUGCAGGGGAGGUCUAGGCAAGUUCUGAGCGCUAGGGUGAUGGGUGGCUCUUAAAGAGUGAGUCGAGAAACUUUCAUUUCCUGGGUUUUUCCGGUUUGCCCUUUCCUUUCUUUUUCUACUCUUUGUAGUGAAAUCAAUAAAAGUGCUAAUUUUUGCCA